GGGGGUUGAUUUUUGUCCAGUAAGACCAAGGACUUAUCAAAGCUUACUCAAGAAGCCUUGGUGGCGGAAAUUAAUUUUAGGAUUCCAGUUACUCAAGGAGCAGCGGAUGACUAAUUCUUACUGUCUUCCAUCCACCCCAGAACUUAAAAGUGAACAACCAAUGGUAUAGAAAUUUCCAGUACACCCUUUUGAAUCAGUUUGGGUCCAAGAGCAUUUAUUAGUGCCAAUUUGAGUGUGCAAAAGACUUGGCUAGACUCUUGCUCUCAAGGAAUUUAAGGAAGACACACUUAUAAAAAGUGACUUUUAAUCAGGACAGAAGGAAUGUCCCAACUUUGAUGAACACAACUUUGAUGUGUUAAGAUUUCCCAAGCUACCAAGGUAAACUGAAAACCUGACUAUUGUAAUAUAUUGCAGUGUCAACAGAUAUUGAAGGGCAGAGGCUGAAGCAAUUAUACUUUUACAGUUUCCUACUUUCUAUAUUUAAAUGCAGGGUUGCUUUGGGCAUCUUAUGUCCUAUAUCCAUACAAAGGAAAGAAAUAGGUAACUUCAUGUUGCUAAACUUGGAUGGACUCAAAUCAGAGAAUUUGGGAAAGUAAUUAACUUGGAUUCUCCACUUAAGGACUUAUAACUCUAUCAAUAGUUUUACAUUAUUAAUGACUUUUCAGAAUAUCAGAAUGCCUUUAAAUUCCCACUUGACUAUUCUGUGCUCAGCUAUAAUUACCCAUAAAAUUAAUACCUAGACUAUUUACUAGGUGCCAGACAACAUGCUAUGUGAGUUCCAUGCACAAUUUCACUAAAACUUCUCAAUAAUAAUGCAAAUCAAGUAAAGUUAUUCAUGUGAGGCAAUGGAGGGCCCAGGUGGUGUACAGGGAAAUUUCUAGCGGUCCUACUGCCAUAUGGAGGCAAAACCAAACAUAACCCCAACUGACUCUGUACCACCUUCACAUAUUUACACCUCCACACACUCACACACCAACCACCUUAACUGUUAACAGCUUCCAAUAAGAUUAUUUUUCCAUAAAUAAUAACAUCCAUUUCCUAUCCAAUAUGGGGGCAUGACCAGAGGCCAUUAUUUCUGAGUAGAGCAAGGGAUUUAGACUGAACUCCCAUGAUCAUUGUUAGAAUUAAAUUAGACAACAGCUUCAAACACUUAAAAAUGUAUAUAAAGGUCAAAUUUUGAUACCCUUUAUAAUAAAAAAUAAUCAAAGAAUUUUAUAAUAUUGAUGUGACAGUUGUGUCAUUAGAGAGAUUUGUUUGUCUUUUCCUUCCAACUAAAUUAGAACACUGAACGGAAUAGAAAGAGCUUUAGAUAACUUUGAAUGACCUGAAAUGAAACAUCCCCCUUUUAUAAAAGGGUCUCAUUUUAACAUAGAAAAUCUGUGGAUUCACAUUUAAGAAUCUUUGACUAAGGAAAUAAUUGGCCUUUUGCUAUGUUUUCCUUGACUAGAAUAAUUCGAAUGUUGGGAAGAAUGAGACAGUGUUCAAUGAUUAUUUGUGGAUUCAGUCCUAUGGUUUUCCAGGGGGAGCAUUUACAUCUCACUGUUUUUGUAGCAGAUCAUGAUUUGUAACUCAGUGUCUAUGACAACUAAAUCUCAACUCUAACAAGACAUGUUCUUUGAAGAGCAAGUUAUUUAUUUUGGGGGGCUUUUUUUUUUAGGGCUGCAACUGUGGCAUAUGGAGUGGCCUUAAAAAGCAAUAAAUAAAUAAAUAAAUAAAUAAUCCACAAAUUGCCAGACAGAUUUAAUGAGGGCUGUUUAAGUUAUCUCUCAAGCCUUUUCAUUUAACAUUUUUGUUCAAAUUUUUGUGCUUGAUAACUAGUAUUGGCUUUAUGAAACCAAACAGGAUAUAUGUGUCCAUACGAACACACAUACACACAGACAGUUUUAAUUUUGUUUCCUCAUUACUUAAUCUGUAUCCUCACAUUUUAAUGUUAAUAAAUAUAUGAGGAUGCAUGAUCACAGUUCAUAAGAAACCUUGAAUAAUUUCAAGUAAAUGCUCUCCUUGAAAUGUAAUAUUUGAAAGAAUACACAUUAAAAUAAAAAUGUGAGAGACUACUUAUGACGGAAAAUGUAACCAGUAUUAAGAAAUCAAAAAGUAAGAUGAAUGUGAGUAUUAAGGUCCAGAUUUUUGAAAAGGUAGAAAGAGUGAAUUUUUAGAAGGCCCGCAGCUUUUUAAAUUCCACGGUCCUACACAAUUAUGUCAAUGAUUACUACCUAGGAUCCACCUGUCCUGGUAAUACCCAACUUCCCCUAGUGAUGCAGGGCCACCUCCAGGCCCUUGGGGAGGGGUCCAUUUGCAUGUUAAUGACGGGAUCUGGAAUGUGUAGGGGAUGGAUCACUUAUUAUAACAAGUGCAAACAGUGAAACAGCACUGGCUGGGUGGGUACCAAGGCACCAUUCUAAGGCCCGUCCACAUAUGAUCUCAAACUUCUCAACCACACUGGGCCAUUCAGACAUUACUAAUACCGUCCUCAAGGGGUGGAGGAGCAAGCUACGACAUAGAGAAGUUCAAAAGAUUUUGUUUUGGUUCUCAGAAUUAAGAAGAGGCAGAGCUGGGGUUCCAACUCAAGCCGCUUGGUGUGUG
rnacentral:lncRNA from 1 species